rnacentral:rRNA from 1 species
UACGGGGGGGGCAAGCGUUGUUCGGAAUUACUGGGCGUAAAGGGCGCGUAGGCGGCCUUCUAAGUCAGACGUGAAAUCCCUCGGCUCAACCGAGGAACUGCGUCUGAUACUGGAAGGCUUGAAUCCGGGAGAGGGAUGUGGAAUUCCAGGUGUAGCGGUGAAAAUGCGUAGAUAUCUGGAGGAACACCGGUGGCGAAGGCGGCAGUCCUGGACCGGUAUUGACGCUGAGGCGCGAAAGCUAGGGGAGCAAAGCGGGG